rnacentral:rRNA from 1 species
CCUACGGGAGGCAGCAGUGAGGAAUAUUGGUCAAUGGACGAGAGUCUGAACCAGCCAAGUAGCGUGAAGGAUGACUGCCCUAUGGGUUGUAAACUUCUUUUAUAUGGGAAUAAAAUGUUCCACGUGUGGGAUUUUGUAUGUACCAUAUGAAUAAGGAUCGGCUAACUCCGUUCCAGCAGCCGCGGUAAUACGGAGGAUCCGUGCGUUAUCCGGAUUUAUUGGGUUUAAAGGGAGCGUAGGUGGAUUGUUAAGUCAGUUGUGAAAGUUUGCGGCUCAACCGUAAAAUUGCAGUUGAAACUGGCAGUCUUGAGUACAGUAGAGGUGGGCGGAAUUCGUGGUGUAGCGGUGAAAUGCUUAGAUAUCACGAAGAACUCCGAUUGCGAAGGCAGUUCACUGGACUGCAACUGACACUGAGGCUCGAAAGUGUGGGUAUCAAACAGGAUUAGAUACCCCUGUAGUC